AGUGGUAAACGUCUGAGACAUGCAUCACUUCGUGCUUUCCUCCCACAUUAAGCUGACACGCCGUGAUAUAACUGGAAUACUGUUAAAAGCGGUGUUAAACCAAACUCACUCACUCACGAUAAUUACUCAAAGUUUACAUUUCUUGAUUACCAGCUACAGUAGUUGCUGGAAGAGGAUGAGACGAGGAUGUGACCUGUGUGGCGUGAUUAGAAAAAGUGGGUGAUCUCUCGGAUUGGAAUAUUGACUACUGAAGAACCCUUUUAUGGGGAAAACUUGUUAUGAAAUUAUUGCAAUGACCAAACAGGACAAGACUGUGGUUAAACUGUUAAGUGGAUAAUUAUUAUUCUUAUUUGCUUGUCUGUGAAUCAGAUGAAAAUGUCACCAAAUAUCAGCACUGUUGUAACUAGGGCUGUAACGAUUCAUGAUACCUACGAUAUCAUUGGUACUAAGGUACACACGCUACUUGAAUGGUCAGUUUGUGAGAUCGUCAUACACUUAAAAUAGAAACUGAUAGAGUUACUUCCCGUAGUGGCAGAAGUAGCAUAGCGCAGGUUGUAAGCAUGGCGGAAUACAAGGACGUGGUGAUAGAGGACCUGCCUGCUAUUAAACUAUUACAUUUAAUAACCAUCCCUUCAUUUAAAACUGUUUUGUUCUUGGUUUUUUUGUUAACACGUUUUUGAUAUGAUACUAAGUAAAUGUUUGAAUCCAGAGGUUUUAGAAUUAUAUUUCAGUGAUUUUAUGAUUUUUUCCUAUUUGUAGAUGUAUCAUGAUACCAGUGCUAUCGUCAGUCUGUAUUGUGAUACGUAUUGUAUCGCAAGGUGCAAUGUGAUACGUAUUGUAUCGCAAGGUGCAAUGUGAUACGUAUUGUAUCGCAAGGUGCAAUGCGAUACUCAGCUCUAGUUGUAACUAUCUAACAAAUUAAGCCACGUAAGAAAACAUGAAUUAGGAAAACAAUGAUACUUAGCUUUCUGGCCAUCGCCUCUCAUUUUGACGAGCGCAGUAGUUGGGUUGGCUCAGUGUUGGGCUGCUGCCUUGGCGGUGUCCUAGGUUCUAUUCCCCUCUAGAUAUGGUGUCCAUUGUCUCUCAAACACACCCUGAAAUAGAGCAGGGAUGCUCCAACUCUCCCAUGUAUGACAGACCCAGGAAGACCAGGGGUAGAAUAGGUCUUCAGCAACCCAUACUUGCCAUAAAACCCAUGAGGCGAAUAAACUUGUCAUGAAAGGCAAAUAACGGGAUCGGGUGGUCAGGUUGACUUGGUUGAUACAUGUCAUCGUAUCCCCAUUAAGUGGAUCGAUGCUCAUGAUGUCAGUCACUGGAUUGUCUGGUCCAGACCCAAUUAUUUACAGACCGCUGUCAUAUAGCUGGAAUAUUGCUGAUUGUGGUGUUAAGCAACAAACAAACAUGUAUGAUAAUGUAUAAUGUGCUGCUUUCAUGUUCUUACAUUUCGAGGAGAAGGCUGUUUAAAUCAUAGCGAGCUGCCAGGGUACUGAAUGUGCUGUACAUAUUUUGCUAUGUGUUUUAUACAUGUUGUCAACCCAUGUUAAACAUCAACAAUAUCAUUGAUAAAAGGAUUUCACAUUGUUCAAGAGUUAUUCCUUCGGUAAUCCAAGCUUCAUUUUGAAUGAAGGAAAUUGUUUCACAAUAAUACUAGAAGGUCACGAUACGAUACAUAUCAUGAUGGAUAUGUAUCAGGAUACGCAUAUUUUCGUCAAUCGUCGCACUAAAACUCACGAUGCACCGGUGUAUCGUUUCACCCCGAAAUACUAUUAUAGUAUUUGAAAAGAUAGAAGUGGAUUUGUUUUUGACAAGUUUCCUUGUGAAAACUGGCGAUUGUUGAGUAUAGAUAUUCCCAUUCUAACAUGCCGAGUCAGCAAGUGUCCACAAGCCCAGUGUUGUGUGGCCCUGAACACCAGCUUGUUGUUUAGUGAUCUGAUGACAGGAGGCAGGUCAACAGCUGGGAUGGAAUUUAUUGAAGUCAGAGCAGAAUUUCUGUCAAUGGAAAGAGCUGACAGUUGACUCAGAAUUGACACAUGGCUACUGAUGAGCAAUGGGAACUUACAUGCAGGAUCUUCAGAUGGAGCAAGUGCUUCAUCUGGGUGAUCCACAUCUAGCUUUCAAGGUUAUGUCUCGCGUGCAAAGAAUAUAUUUUUUCAGGUUUAUUUUAGCCCAAAUGGUGAAUAUUUAUGAUGACAUUAUCUUCUAGAAACAAUUUUGAAAUUCAGAAUAAAUACAAAUCUGGGAUGUCUCCCAUUUGAUUUCACUGAAUAUUUCCUUUGAAUAAAAUGAGUGAUUGCAACGUUUGUGUCUGGCGCAUUCAAACCCAAAUGGUUUUUUUGUUCAACUUUCUUACAAAUAUAUGCCUUUCUGAAUAGCUGUUCCCUUAUUUUUAUUCAUCAGUAUAUUUCUUUCCAAAGUUUCAUCCAAUAACAUAUGAAGUAGAGGUUUUCGCAAAAUGAACUUGGCACUGAGACCACCAUAAGUCUCUGUUAAGAAUUGGCUAUGACCAUCUUAAGUCUAUGUUAAGAAUGGGCUACGACCAUCUAAAGUCUUUGUCACGAAUUGGCUACGACCAUCUUAAGUCUCUGUUAAGAAUCAGCACUGUGACAGUCAUAGCUAUAAGAUGAUUUUGGAAUGAGGCCCAUUAGUCAUUACAAUUCAUUUUGUGACAGAUACGCAGGUAUUAGCAGUAGAAACUAACACUAUUGUCUCCAUAGUCCCACUAACUUAUACCAAAACCCUUAAAAAGGGCAAAUUCCUACUAGUCCUUUUGAUACCUUACUAUUGGGCAGUUUGACAAGGAUGAAAGGACUAGUCCCAGUGUCUGAUACUGGUCAUGGUUUCCCAGCAGCAUGACAUUGCCGUGUGUUUUGUCUAUGCCCUGAGAUGACAUGUGUACAGGUGUGUAAUAUUCAUGUGCUUCACCUCCCCAUAUUGUACAAAGCACUUGUUGAAGGAAGCAAACACAGUCAUCAAAAAGGAAUUUGAUUUUUGUGUAUGUGUUCUAUUUUAAUUUUGAUCCAAUUUAGGAUUAUGAUACAAGAUGAAGCCUAUGUUCUUUAAUAUUUGCAAAAUAUUUUUAGAAUUCUAAUAAUUUAAUAAAAUUGUAGUGUUUAUUCUCUCAUGUGCAAGUAGCCAAGACCUUAGGUUGUCUGCAGAAUUAUUGGAAACAAACAAGAGAAAUCUGUAUAUGAAUUAUAAGGUUUUUAUUCAACAAUGUACUGACAAUAAAGACAUGGCUUUAAGGGAGGAUUUCUAUGUAAUGUUGAAUUAACUUCUUAUAUUGAGAAUUUUUGUUCUGAAUUUUGUAAAGUAGCUGGCGUUGGUGGUGUUUGUAGAUUAUUUCCCAUUUGUACAUAUUUUGGGGAGUACAUGUAAAACAAUCUGUUGUAUGCAUAAGUAAUCAACUUAUUUAAACAUACCUUGUAAAUAAACUUUUUUUUACAAA